AUGGAGUUGCACGCAGGGCCGUGGCUGAUAGCAGGAGACUUCAACUUAAUUGCGAAGCAGGAGGACAAGAGCAAUGACUUAAUUAAGAGAAGAAUAUUAGCAAGGUUUCGGGCGAGGCUGAAUAGACUUAAAAUGAAGGAGUUGUACCUCAAUGGGCGCCGGUACACAUGGUUGAAUGAAAGGCAGGAUGCAACCCUUGAGAAGAUUGACCAUGUUUUUGUCUCUAAUGAUUGGGAUGCUGCGUUCCCGGCUUAUUUCUUAUCUGCCCUUGGGACGGCGAUCUCGGAUCAUUGCCCUUUAAUGCUAGACAUGAAUGUGGAGAUUGGGAUGCAUAAACGCUUCAAGUUUGAGGCAUUCUGGGUCAAGGCGCCAGGUUUUAUGGAGACAGUGCAGAGAUCUUGGGACUCAACGCCAGCAGCGUCCAAUGACUAUGUUACGCUGCACAAUAAAUUGAGGGCCACGGCAAAAGCCUUACAAAGUUGGAGUGAUCGUUGGAUUGGCAAUGUCAAGUUGCAGAUUGCC
rnacentral:rRNA from 1 species